AAUAGAUACCCUGGUAGUCCACGCUGUAAACGUUGGGCGCUAGGUGUGGGGGCCUCUCCGGUUCCCUGUGCCGCAGCUAACGCAUUAAGCGCCCCGCCUGGGGAGUACGGCCGCAAGGCUAAAACUCAAAGGAAUUGACGGGGGGCCCGCACAAGCGGCGGAGCAUGCGGAUUAAUUCGAUGCAACGCGAAGAACCUUACCUGGGUUUGACAUGGCCGCAAAACUGUCAGAGAUGGCAGGUCCUUCGGGGCGGUCGACAGGUGGUGCAUGGCUGUCGUCAGCUCGUGUCGUGAGAUGUUGGGUUAAGUCCCGCAACGAGCGCAACCCUCGUUCGAUGUUGCCAGCGCGUUAUGGCGGGGACUCAUCGAAGACUGCCGGGGUCAACUCGGAGGAAGGUGGGGAUGACGUCAAGUCAUCAUGCCCCUUAUGUCCAGGGCUUCACGCAUGCUACAAUGGCCGGUACAAUGGGCUGCGAUACCGUGAGGUGGAGCGAAUCCCGAAAAGCCGGUCUCAGUUCGGAUCGGGGUCUGACG
rnacentral:rRNA from 1 species